UGCGCGCGAGCCAAUGGUCGUCCUCCGGAACACCAAAGGCGCAAAAAACAUAACUUGAGUUGUGCGGGAUUACGGGCGCGGCUCUCUGCAGCGUCCCUCCAUCCCCGGGUGUUGUAACCGGCAUGCGGUGUGGUCCCUCGGGGCCGUCACCGUGCCACAACAUACCGUGAGUGUGCAGGAUGUGACCCGAAAGAUGGUGAACUAUGCCUGAUCAGGUUGAAGUCAGGGGAAACCCUGAUGGAGGACCGAAGCAGUUCUGACGUGCAAAUCGAUUGUCAGAAUUGGGCAUAGGGGCGAAAGACCAAUCGAACCAUCUAGUAGCUGUUUCCUUCCGAAA
rnacentral:rRNA from 1 species